CACUCCUCACAGUGGCACGAGAGGAUGUAACGGUAGGUGGCAGUGAGCCUCAUGCCACCUGAGCAGCGCAAGCGCAUGGCCUUCAGCUUGGAAGUCUGUGGCCGGCAGCAAUGGCAUGUGGAGCGGAAAGGCUGUUUCAGCACUGUACUGAAGGACACCAUUGGUUCAGAGCGUGAUGUCUGAGUGCAGCGUCCCUCACAGCGAGCCAGCAGCACCAUCUGUAAAGGAGGGAGACAAAAGGAAUGAGGACAUCUAGCCUUAGAGCAGUGCAGGCUGAAGACACAGCUCGUUACCCUGGUCUUUGACACUUGUGAGGGGGUUUACCAUUGCUUUCCUCAGAGGCUCAGAGGCAGUGACUGGCCCAAGGUCACCCAGUGAGCUUCAUGGCUGUGUGGGGAUUCAAACCCUGGCCUCCCAGGUCAUAGUCCAACACUCUAACCACUACAUCAAACUGGGUCUCUAAAUAGGAAUAAUAGGAAUGCUAUACUGGGAAAACUGUAUUCUUGUGCCCAUUUGAAAUGUUUUAACAAUUUUCUAAUGACAUCUUCCUAUUCUAUAUAAUCUGAUUUUUUCAAAACAUUUUUGAGGCAACACUUCUUCAUCUUCUUCUUCUUUGCUUCUUCCUCCUCCUCUUCCUAAUUCACAGACACUAAAAUACAUAUAGGCCUGGCAGGAGGGCUAGAGACGUUUCUGAUUGUUAUGAGGAAAUCAUUGCUCUUCCAUUAUUUCUUAGAAGCCACACUUUAAAAUAUGGCACCACCAUCAUGUAGAAGGAAAGGGUGUCUACAUGGUCAAACUUUCCACUUAAUUCCUUCACAAUAUGAAGCAUAUCAGGAAGUCUGUAGCAAAUGAAGUUGACUAAGAGGGGAAUGACAAAAUUGGGUUCACAAACUGUGGUCCAUGGACCACCAGUGGCCCGUGAGGCAUAUCUGUAUUAAAUGUUCAUAUUGAUUUGUAACUGUAU